rnacentral:rRNA from 1 species
CCCGAAUUCAAAAGAGUUAAGUAGUUGUUUACUUUAUUGUUGAAUAAAUAUAAUUAACAUCUACUUGGUAAUGAAACGUUAUUCGUUUUUGAAUAUAUCUGGUUUUUUAAGAAAUGAAUUUAAUUUAUUUUCCAUUUGAUUAUUUUGGUAAGUUUUUACUUUGAUAUUGUUGGGAUUAUAUAUUCAAUGGGAUUAGCUUUUGAAUACAUUCUUAUAAAAUUUGUAGUUUGUGUGAUAUAUAGGAUUAGAAUUUUCCAUUAUUGUAAUGAUGUUAUAAUUGGUCACUUUAUUAUUAUUAUUUAUAUUGUUUUUAGGUUUUUUAUUAAAAAUUUUACUUUAAUUUGUAGGGUGAAGUUAUCAUGAUAAAAUUAGUAUAUCUAUUGUGUAUUUGUAUAUUGGGUUUUAAGUUAGUUCUAAGGAAUUCGGCAAAUUAUUUUCCACCUGUUUAUUAAAAACAUGGCCUUUUGUGAUUGAUUUAAGGUCAGGCCUGCCCAAUGAUUUUUUAAAUGGCCGCAGUAUUUUGACUGUGCAAAGGUAGCAUAAUCAUUAGUUUUUUAAAUGAAAGCUGGUAUGAAGGGUUUGAUGAGAAAAUUACUGUCUCAGCACUAUUGUAAUAGAAUUUUAAUUUUAAGUUAAAAGGCUUAGAUUUUUUAGGAAGACGAGAAGACCCUAUAGAGUUUUACAUUUAAGUUCUUUUGUUAGUGUGGGUUUUAAUUUAUUGAAUGGGCUUGAUUGUUUUGUUGGGGUGACAUAUAAAUUUAAUAAACUUUAUAUUUUUGUUACAUUGAUUUAUGAUUAUUUGAUCCUUUAUUUGAGAUUAUAAGAUUAAAUUACCUUAGGGAUAACAGCGUAAUUUUUUUUGAGAGCUCAAAUCGAUAGAAAAGAUUGCGACCUCGAUGUUGGAUUAAAAUUUAUUUUGGGUGCAGAAGCUUGAAAAUUAAGUCUGUUCGACUUUUGAAAUUUUACAUGAUCUGAGUUUAAACCGGUGUGAGCCAGGUUGGUUUCUAUCUCUUAAUAUUUAUUAUACUUUAGUACGAAAGGACCAAGUAU